AGAGUUUGAUCAUGGCUCAGGACGAACGCUGGCGGCGUGCUUAACACAUGCAAGUCGAACGGAAAGGCCCUUCGGGGUACUCGAGUGGCGAACGGGUGAGUAACACGUGGGUGAUCUGCCCUGCACUCUGGGAUAAGCCUGGGAAACUGGGUCUAAUACCGGAUAGGACCGCAUGCUUCAUGGUGUGUGGUGCAAAGCUUUUGCGGUGUGGGAUGAGCCCGCGGCCUAUCAGCUUGUUGGUGGGGUAAUGGCCCACCAAGGCUACGAUCAGUAGCUGGUCUGAGAGGAUGACCAGCCACAUUGGGACUGAGACACGGCCCAAACUCCUACGGGAGGCAGCAGUGGGGAAUCUUGCGCAAUGGGCGAAAGCCUGACGCAGCCAUGCCGCGUGUAUGAUGAAGGUCUUAGGAUUGUAAAAUACUUUCACCGGUGAAGAUAAUGACUGUAGCCGGAGAAGAAGCCCCGGCUAACUUCGUGCCAGCAGCCGCGGUAAUACGAAGGGGGCUAGCGUUGCUCGGAAUUACUGGGCGUAAAGGGAGCGUAGGCGGACAUUUAAGUCAGAGGUGAAAUCCCGGAGCUUAACUUCGGAACUGCCUUUGAUACUGGGUGUCUUGAGUGUGAGAGAGGUAUGUGGAACUCCGAGUGUAGAGGUGAAAUUCGUAGAUAUUCGGAAGAACACCAGUGGCGAAGGCGACAUACUGGCUCAUUACUGACGCUGAGGCUCGAAAGCGUGGGGAGCAAACAGGAUUAGAUACCCCGGUACUCCAA
rnacentral:rRNA from 1 species